ensembl:miRNA
UGCCCUAGCAGCGGGAACAGUUCUGCAGUGAGUGAUCAGUACUCUGGAGUAUUGUUUCCGCUGCCAGGGUA